UACGUAGGGUGCGAGCGUUGUCCGGAAUUACUGGGCGUAAAGAGCUCGUAGGUGGUUUGCCGCGUUGUUCGUGAAAACUCACAGCUUAACUGUGGGCGUGCGGGCGAUACGGGCAGACUGGAGUACUGCAGGGGAGACUGGAAUUCCUGGUGUAGCGGUGGAAUGCGCAGAUAUCAGGAGGAACACCGGUGGCGAAGGCGGGUCUCUGGGCAGUAACUGACGCUGAGGAGCGAAAGCGUGGGGAGCGAACAGGA
rnacentral:rRNA from 1 species